GGGGGCCGGGACCGAUUCGGGUCGGGUCGCAGCCACCGCCGUCGUCCCGAUCGCGCCCGGGAAAUUAAGAGACGCCGUCGUGGAAAGUUAGCGCGGCUCCUGGGAGGAUUUCUAGCUUGCGAUCGAUCCCGGCGUCGUCUCACUUCCGUUGGCCAGUCACCGCUGCACAAUAUUGCACAAUGCGGACGAGGGAACUCAGUAACGAGCAUUAAUCGCGUAGACGGCCAAGUCGAGCAUCAAUUACUAUCAAUCUGUAGCGAGAAAAAAGGAAGAACGAGCAGCCAAUGAAACGUCAACGAGCGUGAGAGACGAAUACGGUGUAACGAGUCCCACCCGAAAAUGACGAGCGAUGAAGUGAGGAUAUCCCAUCCAUCCAAGAAUCGGACUGUGCUUUAAAAAUUUAUGGAAAAAUGU